rnacentral:lncRNA from 1 species
UGGGUAUAAGACAUGUAAGGAAAAAGUUUUGGGUGGAGAGAAAGAAGCAGAGACAACAUAUGACAGAGACAUAGUAAAAGGACAUAAUUAUUGAUUGGACAUAGGCAGUAAGGAAGGAGAAAUCUAGAAUGUUUCCAUUCUUACUUGGGUGUUUUGGAAAAUACUGGCAGCACUAAAUAGGGUACAAUAUAUAGGGGAAAUAGGUGGAGGAGAAAGAUAAUGGUUUCCAUUCUAGACAGGCUGAUGUUGAGGUGCCUUGCAACAGUCAAGCAUAGAUGAUAAGUAGGGAGUUGGCUAUAGACGAGAUCAACUACAGAAUGUGCAUAGUGAAAAGAAAAACAAGAAUUAAACCCAAGAUAACUUCAGGAUUUAAGAGCCAAGCUUAUAAAGAGAAUCCAGCCAAAAAGAUCAACAAGCAUAACUCAGAAAUCAAAAGAAUAAAGUCUUUUAAACAAUAGGAAGCAUCAAAAUUAACAAAUACUACAGAGAAAUUGCUAAAACAUAGGCUAGAAAUAAUCACUUGAUAACUGGAGUGUUAAGAAUAACUUGUGUAUUAAUGAUUUCAGUAGAGUGAAAACACAAAUGUAGAACAGGUUUCUCUAUCUCUUUUCUAGCCAAACUCCGUAUAAACUCUCUACUGUUUUAGAACAACAUAGAAAGAUAACCGUUCUCCUUUCUCUCAGUUAUUUCCAUGGUAAUGCAUCUCCAUCAUCUCUCAGCAUCACCGACUGCAGUAUUUCUGUGUAAUGAGCAUUUGUUAUUCUUUUUCUAACUAAAUUCCUUCCUAUGUUUGGGGAAUCUCCAUCUUAUGAAGUGUGCUGAGAAAUAGGUCCCACCUGCCAUCAUAGAAGAGGAAAAAUGUUAGAAUUUCUCUUUCCCAUCCUCCCUUGCCGUUCAGAUAUGAUCAGUGAUCUGCCUUCCAUCAUUCAGAUACAAAAAGACUUUGACUCAGGAGACAAGGAUGCCAAUAAUCAGGAACCUUGUAGGAGUUGGUCUCUGGAAGCAGGAGCAGUUACAGCCAGAUUGAGUUCCCGGCUACACAGUUUGGACCACUGAAAUGUCAACUGCUUUGUGGCAGCAACAACAGAAGGGGUUUUCUUGCCAUUUCUGAAUUGCCCUUGUUGAUCUCUUUGCCUGAAUUCCCUUCUGCUUGUCCCUUAAAUCCUGGAAUUAUUUUGGUUUAAUCUUUUUUUUUUUUUCUUUUUUUAACUCUGUCUCUCCCCCAAGUACUGACCUGUAUGGCAUACUACCUACUUAUCAUUUCUUCCAAGGCAUCUCAGCAUCAAUAUGUAUAGAAUGGACACUGUUCUUUAUCUUUCUCCUUCAUUUAUUGUGUGUAUGUGUGUUGUGCUGGCUCUGUAGUAAUAGAAGCAAUGGCUGACACUAAAUGAGAGCUAACUAUGUGCCAGGUACUAUCUGAAGAGUUUUCCUUGGCUAGGAUAGUCAGCACAUUAAAUCAUUCAAUAUUCACAACCACUCUAAGAAGUGAGCACCAAGCUAGGUUUUCAAGACCUCCAGAAGAUUCAGUUUGAUCUCCUUUCAAUAAGUCUGGUGGUGGAGUGUCAAUCAGUUUUUGUCAAAGUCUGUCAGUUCUAGUUUCUGCUAUUAGCAAAACAAACAUAAAUUUAUCAUUCCUCUUAAUUCUGUUCUCACUGGAAUCUCAAAAUAGUUGCUGCUUUCACUUGGACAGCAAAUCCCUGGCUCUUACAUAAGCAUAAGUCUGAUGUUAAUGAGACAUUCCUGCAUGGGAGUGGGUAGCUUGGGUGUGAGAAGUGGUUUUUUUGUUUCUCCAAACCAGCAAGGAGAUUUCUAAGCUUAAUUAGCUUUAUUUGCUGACAUUGGGUCCAGUGCCUCUGCAGCCCUCAUAAUUGUCAGUAAAAUACAAGGUUCUAUUGGCCCCUUUUAAUGAGGCAACUUCACACUCUAUUUUCUAAACAGUAGGUCAAAGGAAAUCUCUUCUCUUCCCCCCACCCCAUAAAUUUGUGGAUGGCAGGAAAUUGGAUGGUUUGUUGAGCACUUGACUGAGACCUUGCCUGGACAGCCUACUUUGUUCUUGGAAACACUCACUUUCUCUGGGGCAUCACAUUGGUAAGUACCUACCCACCUCUCAGAAGUUUGUUGGUGAGUUAUGAAGUCAGGCUGACCGCAUGUUCAGAAGCAGUUGGCUGAACACAGAGACCAUCCUUUUACAAUAUGUUAUAUCUAAACAUCUUCCAAGUGCUUUUAUUUGUAUUAGGGAGACAGGGAAAUGUGUUUAGUUAAGCCCAUGGGUUUCUUAUAAUGAAACUGAUGGGUUCCAACCCUGCCUCAGCUCUUUCUGCCUGCUUGGCCCUGGAGAGUCUGCCUAACCUCUCAGAGCCUGUCACUUCAUUCAUAAAAUAGAGGUAAUCAUGUAAAGGUCAUUGUGAGAAUGAAAUGUGAUGAGAAAAUGAUAUUCCUUCAGCAGGUGGUAAUUAUCAUUAUUGUUAUUUAAUUCCAUCCUUUUCACCUAGAUUUUCUCCUUACAGAUAUUUGCUGGUUGUUUCUUUUUCCUUAUGUGUGUCCACAUGUAAUCUUCCACACAUUCUCUAGUCUGAUUCCUAGGACUACCCAGUCUGUGAUUGAAAAUGUGUAUGCAUAAUUGUCUGAGCCUUGGGCUUUAUUUUUUUGUUGUCUUCACAAUUGGCAGAGAGCUUCCACAAGCAUUAUCUCCUGUGAUCUUCAAAAUAUGCAAUUACAAAAGGAAGGCAGAUAUUCUAGAGGAUGAAUCCACAAUGCAGAAAGGACUUGAAUGGGAAUCCCCUCAAGGCCUGAUGAUAUCUGUUUGCUUUCUCUCCCCCAUACCUCACAGACCAUCACAAUGUCACACUUGCCUCAUUUUUUUUUUUCCAUAAACUUAGAUCUUUUUCAUCAUGUGUUAGGGGAAGGCACUGAACUAGAGAUAGUUCAGUGUUUAUGCCACCUCUAACUAUCUACGACUCACUCAACAGGUUCAAGUGAGCCAAGACCAUGUGGAAAAUUGGCACAGGGUAUCAUCUUGCAGCCAGGCUAAAUGAAAGAAGAAUCAGAACCAACAUAUCAAAAGCCUUCAAGGAUAGGUUGCCAUUCUGCUGGCCUGACUCUCAGAAAUUACCCUUUAUAAUUAGCAACACCAAAGGAAUUCUGCCUUCACUCCUGUUCAACUUAGAGUCACCAUUCUGAAUCAGCUUUCAAUGUUGCUACCACAUUAAUGUCUUCUCUUAUCUGACCCAUGUCAUCAUUUCCAAGCUCCAUCUCUCUGUGUUUAACUCCCCACUUUCUAUUUUGUAGAAUAUUUUGUUUCUGGUUGUAAUAAGUCUGGAUUGGCUCCCUAUCCUUACCUGUUCUCUGAACUCCCAGAAACGGAAAACCCUUAAGUCUAUCCACUAAUUUCUGAGAACUAUAAGAGUUGGCCUGUUUUCCUAGUCUCUAGAAACUUACCUAAUGGGACUUGGAAUCUGAAUUUUAUUUACCAGGACUUCCUGUUGUGGAUUCAACUGUGUAAUUCUAGAGUUUUAGUGUAUAAAUAUCCUAAGCAAUCACUAUUGGACAGGGCUAUGGCUGUCACCAAGUUUGAAAAGUUGCAGCGAUACAAACUCCCCACUUGAGAGAAUACAGUGCUUCCCGUUAUUAAAUCUUUAAAUGUGUUGCAUCCUCUGAUUAGAAAGAGUGUGGCAUGUAAAGCGAAAUUCCUUUCCUAUAAGUGGAAGAGGAGCCCUACCUAUAAACAAUGAAACAGUAAACAAAAAACUGAUUGUUAGCACUUUAGGGGGCGCCAAGAAACAUGGACAAGGGAAUAAAACUGUAAGAAUUUUGUAAAACUUCUAGAACCUUUGUAACUUUCCUGGUAAUGCUAUUUUUGCUAUUACCAUCUGUUUCCCCAUAGUGAUUAGCACUGAACUUCUUAAAAUAAAAAGGGUCUAUGUGCUUAUCUUCAGGACAUUAAGAAGAAAGCAGAAAUAUAGCUUCAGACUCUUCAGGCAGGCUUGCCAGAGAAAGAUCCCAAAAGGAAGAGAGGUGUUAGCAAUUUCUAAAGGAAAGGAAAGUGGGAUGACACCCACUUCCUUGAAACCUAUGAAAAGGGAAGAGGGAAGUAGAAUCAAUUAGGGCCUAAGAUAGGAUUUAGGACUAGAUAGAACAAGGUCCUUUUUGAGAUUUCCCCAAAUUUGUUUCAGAAAUUUACUUUAAGGUAGGCAAUUGACUAGCAGAAAUAUACUUAAAAGUGAGAGUGAGGCACUGUCCUUUGUGAUAUUUCUUGAUGAGAAGAAAUUAAGCACCUUUUUAUUUAGGACAGCUUGAGUGAGGAUCUUAUUCCCAAGAGGCAGUAAUAAUUUGUGGGAAUACAUGAGAUUUCAUUGUCAGGAGACUUUAGUUCAAUUCAGAAUCUGUCUUUCUCAGGUAACAUGAACCUGGUGAAUUCAUUCUCUUUGGACCUCUGUUUCUGCAUAUCUUAAUUUAUAGACUAGAACUGGACCAUAGAUAAGGUUAAUGUAAGUGACAGUAGCAGAAGAAGCAGAACUGUCUAAUUCACAAAUACUUGAUUGCCUAUGUAGAAAUCCUAUGAAAUAUGUAUGUCAAAAGCUACUAAAAUGUAAGCAAGGUUACCAAAGUUGCAAAAUAUAAGAUCAAUAUACAAAAAUCAAUUUUAUGUUCUAUAUGUUAUCAAUGAAUAAUUGGAAAUUUAAAAAUAAAAAAAGUCAUUGACGAUAACACUGAAAAAUAGGAUAUACUUAAGAAUAAUUCUGACCAAGUAUCUAUCAAAUCUUUACACUGAAAACUACAAAACAUUGCUGAGAAAAAUUAAAGAUUUAAAUAAGUGGAAAGAGCAUGAAUUAAAAGACCCACAGUUGUUCCCUAUGUCGAUCCUCCCCAGUUGCUCUAUAGAUUCAACACAAUCUCAGUCAAAAUCCAGAAGAAUUUUUUUUUAGCAGAAAUCAACAACUUGACUUGAAAAUUUAUAUCAAAAAUGAAAAGAAUCUAUUAUAAUCAAAGUAUAUUUGACAAAGAAUUAAAUUAGAGGACUAAUACCACCUGAUUUCAAGACUUAUUUU